GAGGGAGGGAGGUAAGAGGGGAGGGAGAACAAAUUUGGAACACUAAGUCUUACAAAUAUAAAUAUUGAGAAGUAUCUUUACAUGUACGUGGAAAAAUAAAAUAUUAUUAAAAAUAAGAGUUACAGAACCAAAAUGAUAAAAAGCAAAAAAAAAAAAAAAAAAAAAAAAAAGAAAUAGAUCUGAGACCAGAGAUUAUUUUGCUCAAGAUUUUGUGUUUCUAGGACUGAACCAUAAUGUCUUCCCCAGUUUAAAAUAAAUACUCUCUUAAUAAAUCAACGAAGGGGGAAAGCUCCUGAGGCAGCUGAAGUGAGGGAUAAGUCUUGGGCCGGAUGGGGGAGAGGGAAGCUGGCUUUGUCAUGACCUCUGUGAUUCGGUGCGUCCCUUCAUAUCUCCAGGCCUCAGUUUCCCCGUUUGUAAGAUGGAAGAGUUGAGUUAGAUGAUUUAAAGGUCCUCUUUGGCGUGAGACCCCGGAUUCUUUGCUCUAAGGCAGGGCUAUUUGUCUCUCUCUUCCUGUGCUGUCUCUCUGUCAGGCAUUGUGGGGAAGCUGAUGCCCUUCUCCAAGUCUUGCUUCUACCUGAAUUCCAACUUGCAGGAAUUUUAGUUAAUUUAUUAAUUUAGUGAAAUAAUUAGUUAAUUAAUUAAUUUAGUUAAAGGUGAAUGAUGAGAAAGAUGUGACUGAAGUUACUGGCUCCCCUAAUAUCUCUAUUAUAGAUAUGGUGGGAGCCGGGUGGGAAGCCCCAGCUCGAAGGCUGCUUCCUCUUGAUUUUUCCCUGUGGUCCGAGGUCCCCUCUGACCUUAACCCACCGGCUCUGAGGCCGUCUGACGCUGACCCUCCCUCUGUCAGUCAUUGAUUUCGCCCCGCCCGUGGGGUGCCGCUUCUCGCUGCACCCUAACAGGGCAGGUAGUUUUCAUCCAUAUAAGGCCUUUCCUGGAAGUAGUUUGUGUAAACAGAGCGACAGGUUUGCACCUUCCAGUAACGGGUGGCUCCCGGCUCAUUCGACGCCUGAUGGCGGUGGGUGUGGGAGCUGCCCGGCCGGGCGUUUUGCAAGAGGGUUGCGAGAGCUCCGUGGGAGGGCUCAGCACGCGUGGGAACGCGGAAGGGCUCCCGUCCGACCGACCGUGUGACCAAAGUCACUGCCAAGUCCAUGCAGCUGAUCCUGAGAUCUCAGUGAGGACGUGAAAUAAAAAUCGAGCCCAGGCAUCCUUUUCAUAUCCAAACUGGGCAGGUUCAGAUUGGUGGCUGAGGAUGGCAGAGGAAUUCCAGCAGCAAAGGGGAUUCUGGGGAUAAAAACGAAACUGAAAUGGAGGAAACCGUGGCCGUUUGAUCCCUCGGGAGGCCGGAAAGUGAGAGGCAGGACGGACACACAUUGUCCUGAGCAUCUGUGCCCCUGCUUCCAAGGAGCCGGCCGGGUGGAAUUCCCCCAUUUCCACAAGCACGCCCCGAGCGCCUUCCACUUGUCCAGCUGGAAGGGAGCUGAGGGCAAGGGCUCCGAGAACCUGAGCCUCGGGAGACUCCCUGCAGCCCGGCCUGGAACACUCGGACAAAAGGGUUAGACUAAGGAUCAUCAGCUAGAACGGACCCCAGAGGCCGUCCAGUCCGGUCUCCUAUUUUACAGAUGAGGGAGCAAGAAGGAUAGCCCUAAGUUUUCUCUUCAUGGGAAACAGCAAAUCUGAAGGUCAAAAGAAUCCCAGAGGUCAUUUGGUCUGACCUGACAGAGGGCCCUGUCUGCUCCAUCCCUAAGAAGAGGCUUUCCAGAUCCUACUUCCAGAGAAGCUGUUUCCUCCUGAGCCAGCCGGAAGUUUCCUCCCUCUCAGGAAGUUUAUCAGACUUCCAUCUCUCUCCCCGAAUCUUGUCUUCAGUGCUUCUGGUUGUGCUCUCUGGGGUUAAGUAGAAUGAAGUUCAUGCAUCCUUCUGUGGGACAGCCUUGCAAAUGUGGAAGAGAAUGAUUACGGCCCACUCUCCCCUCAAACAUCCAACCUAUCCACGUAGAAUAUCGGAGCUGAAAGAGAUCUUAAAUCCCUCAAAAAGCUUUUCUUUCUAGGAUUUCUGCUAUAGGAGCUGAGGACUCAAAGACACUUGUGUGGCUAAGCCCUGGGUAAAGAAAAAGAGGCAAAAGACAGUACCUGGUUUCAAGGUGAAAUGGCAGUCUGAAAGUCGCUGCAAUUCCCCACCCUUUGGCAGGCCCCAGUGCUUAGCCUGGCACCUUGUAAGUGAGCUAGCAAUUGUACCAAUGGUUAUUACUUGUAAAGUGCCUACUAUGUGUCAGACACUGGGCUUUAUAAAUAUAUAUCAUUGGAUCAUCAUAGCAAUCCUGGGAGGUAGGUGCUGUUAUUGUCCCCUGUUUCCAGCUGAGAAGACCGAGGCGAACAGAGGUUAAUCAACUUGAUCGGCAGAGUUUCUGAUGAUGGUCCGGUUCUUGGACAAAAGUCACCAUACUUCUUGGGGGAGUCUCCUCACUUUUCUUGUCACGAUCACAGUUAGCGAUUGGGAAAAACCCUGAGCAUAUAUGAGUUAAUAAUUGUUGUUAUUAAAACUGAUAUAGUAGAUCACUGGUUCAAAGAUUUAAGUUCUACCUAUUGGCUGUGAGACCCUGACCAAGUCCUUUCCCAGUGCUCUUGUUAAUUCCCUGAGAUUAUAAAUUGCAGAAAUUGGCCUGUUUUGGUUGAGGUGAUUUCUUCACCUGGUAGCUAACACAGGUCCUUUCCCCAAUCUUUAGAGAUUUUUAACCUUGGCUCCAGGGAUUCCCCAAAGAGAGGGAGAUUUUAACAAGUCUGGGAUCUUGGAUGUGAUUGGGAUGGUGAUGGCUAUCUCUCUUCUCUACCCUCAAGCCCCCGCCCCAGUCUGAAAAAAAAGCAUCCGGGAUCUAGAGCAUUUUGGGGUGGAUGUUACAUAAUCGAUAUUAUACCUUCGUUAAGACAGU